UGUGAUACUUCAUCUUUGCCACCUCU
rnacentral:piRNA from 1 species